rnacentral:rRNA from 1 species
UACGGAGGGAGCUAGCGUUGUUCGGAAUUACUGGGCGUAAAGCGUGCGUAGGCGGUUAUUCAAGUCAGAGGUGAAAGCCCGGGGCUCAACCCCGGAACGGCCUUUGAAACUAGGUAACUAGAAUCUUGGAGAGGUUAGUGGAAUUCCGAGUGUAGAGGUGAAAUUCGUAGAUAUUCGGAAGAACACCAGUGGCGAAGGCGACUAACUGGACAAGUAUUGACGCUGAGGAGCGAAAGCCAGGGGAGCAAACGGG